UACCAGCUCUUCGAGUGGUGUGGAUGUUUAUUGGGCCUAAAGCAUCCGUAGCUGGCUGGGCAAGUCCCCUGUUAAAUCCACCGAUUCGAUCGUUGGAGUGCGGGGGAUACUGCUCGGCUAGGGGACGGGAGAGGCAGACGGUAUUUUCGGGGUAGGGGUGAAAUCCUAUAAUCCCGGGAAGACCACCAGUGGCGAAGGCUGUCUGCUAGAACGUGCCCGACGGUGAGGGAUGAAAGCUGGGGGAGCGAACCGGAUUAGAUACCCCGGUAGUCCCAGCUGUAAACGAUGCAGGCUAGGUGUUUGGACGGCCACGUGCCGUUCUAGUGCCGCAGGGAAGCCGUUAAGCCUGCCGCCUGGGGAGUACGGCCGCAAGGCUGAAACUUAAAGGAAUUGGCGGGGAGCACCACAAGGGGUGAAGCUUGCGGUUU
rnacentral:rRNA from 1 species